CAGGAAGGAACCUGUGUGCCUCAACAGUGUAUUUCUUCAUCCAAUUUACAAGCUCUGACUACUUGGUUGGAGAAUAGGAGUACUUGGUUGUUCUCCCUCCUGCAUCAUCUGCAGUGCUGCAGAACCCAGAACAACACCACCUGCAUUCAGGAGGGAUGGACCUCUGUGAUUGCACACGUGUGGAGUGGGAGAGCCAUGGAGACCAUCGCCUUUGGUCUCUCAGCACCUUCACACCUGAGUGCCCCUAACAUUCCUACACGAGGGCUGCUUGGGCGAGUGAACACUGUCUAAGAGGGCUCCAGUCAUUAAAA
rnacentral:lncRNA from 14 species